CCUACCACCCUUUGCUUAUUACCCUUUGUUGCUUUGGCAGGCCUGCCUUCGGGCUGCUGGCUCCGGCCGGCGAGCGCUUGCCAGAGGAUCUAAACUCUGUUUGUCUAUACUGUCUGAGUACUAUAUAAUAGUUAAAACUUUCAACAACGGAUCUCUUGGUUCUGGCAUCGAUGAAGAACGCAGCGAAAUGCGAUAAGUAAUGUGAACUGCAGAAUUCAGUGAAUUAUCCAAUCUUUGAACGCACAUUGCGCCCCCUGGUAUUCCGGGGGGCAUGCCUGUCCGAGCGUCUUACAACCCCCAAGCUCUGCUUGGUGUUGGGCCCCGCCGCCCCGGCGGGCCCUAAAGUCAGUGGCGGUGCCAUCCGGCUCCCAGCGUAGUACUUCUUCUCGCUCUGGAGGUCCGGUUGUGUGCUUGCCCUCAACCCCCAAUUUC
rnacentral:rRNA from 1 species